rnacentral:rRNA from 1 species
GACAGAGGCCUCAAGCGUUAGGCGGAAUCACUGGGCUUAAAGCGUGUGUAGGCGGAUCGUUAAGUGUCUUGUGAAAUCCCACGGCUCACCCGUGGAACGGCUGGGCAUACUGGCGAUCUUGGGCCAACUAGGGGCAACUGGAACAAGCGGCGGAGCGGUGAAAUGCGUAGAUAUCGCUUGGAACGCCAAAGGUGAAAACAGGUUGCUGGGGUUGUGCCGACGCUGAGACACGAAAGCCAGGGGAGCAAACGGG